GACUCUGCUGCCUGUGCCCUCCUUUCAGAACAGGAAUGUAACAUAUCCCUGGCCAAGCACCCAGGUGACGUGACUCUUCUUCCUAGUUUCUGCCAUGAGAAAAGAUUUUGAUAUAUCUCUGGCCUAGCACCAAAAUGAUGUGACUCUCUUGCUCACUGUCUAUGCACAGGUGGGAUUUGUUCAGCUCACAGGAGCACAGCCCACUGUUGAGAUUCUGAAUCUCAAAACCAAUGAAAGUUUCAAAAGUUGAAAAAUUGACUUUCAUCCUUGAAUCCAGUGUACAAGUAAGCUGGUGACUCUCAGACCAAGAUUCAGCACCCCUGAGACUUAAGAAACUGUGAGUCCACUAAGGAGACAGUCUAGAGGAUGGAUGGAAGGUCUCAUACACAGAUCAAGUCCACAGUUGAGAUUCUGUGAUUGUGACAUACGCCUCUGUCCAGCACCUGAGUUUUUUGACUCUCCUGCCUGGGCUCAGCCCACAGAUUGGAUUGUAACACAUCGCUGAACCCAGGAUCUAGGUUAUUUGCCUCUUCUCUUCUGCCUG
rnacentral:lncRNA from 1 species